AUUGAAUUGAAUUGAAAUUACUGCAUCAAUUAUUCAUUCUUGCUGAGUUCAGUUGCACUUUUCGCAGUAAUACAUUUUCAUCCCCUUUCG